AGAAGAAGGGUUCUAGGCCACCUGAUCGUGGGUUUAUUUCCUAUCACCUAUCAGCUCAGCUAUAGAGGGUUAUCUUUUACCAGUGUGAAGUCACCACUCUAAUAUGACUGCAGUAAGCCUCUUUUUCAAUUUAUCAAGCUGCAGUCACCACUCAUACUAACUACAUCUGUGGGAGAGUGAGCCUUAACAAUAUGGUGAAGUUGCUCUUUCUCCGCAUAGGUGAUGGAGUUCGAACCCCAGAAACAACCUUUAGAUUUAUGGAGGGAAGACUAAGCUCCUCAAACUCCACCUUGGCGACAGCCUCAUGCACUGAGUUGUCCUACAUUUAUAUUAUCCUGAGUGUCAAAGAAUAUUCCACUAAUCUGAUGAUAUUUUGAAUGAGGAGAUUGCUCUCACUAUGGGGAUCAGCCAAUGAUUUGUUUGCAAACAUUAGCUGCCGGGAUUUGGAUUAACAAAAUGCUGUUUCUCCUUCUCCAGAGAGGCUGAGACACAGCAGGCUUUACUUGGUAUUUGCAUACAAGUACCUCACAUGGAUAUUCAAGAUUCUCGAUGAUGUUUAUUAUCGGGCCAACAAACCCAGCUCGACAAACAAAAUUUAAGAUCGUCUGAUCCCAGAAAUAUCUAGAAGAAGACACUGAAGACAGCUACCCUAGACUGCUUUUAAGAUGAGGCCAUAGUGUAGCUGUUGCUAGAAUUAUCAGCAUGGUCCUAAGAAUUUGUUGUGCCAUGAAGAAAACAGAGCAGUCAUACGGGUCCCCAGGGCCAUACCAGUGUUGUAAAGUUCAUCGUCUCGUGCCCCAUCUCACAUGUUGAUUCAUUUGCUGCAGCAUUGGAGUUGUUGGGGUGUUCUUGAGGACCCAAAACAUGACAGAGCCAUUUAGUCUUGACAUAUCUAUUACAUUUCUGAUGGGGCAUACAAAAACUUGGACAUAGCUCAACCACAGAUGCCAGUGUCUCCCAUCUCCUCAACAUCUCACGGAAGAGCUUCUGACCUAAUUUGUCGGCACAACGAAAGCAGAGCGGGAAGUAAUUGCUUUCAACUUAAAGAGAAAAGUUCUCUGUUAACUCUCCCGAAUUCAUGAACAUGAUUGUAAAGUUGCUUCUUUGCAGUCUGAUGACCGACGAAUACCAAACCUCGUAUAUUAACCUUCCUUGUAUCAUUAUUCAUGUAUUGAUCACUAAAAAUAUAUGCCAG